UCAAGAUCCAUACCAACCUGAACACACCCAAUCUCGUCUGAUCUUGGAAGCUAAGCAGGGUCGGGCCUGGUUAGUACUUGGA
rnacentral:rRNA from 1 species